ACGCUCGACACCUACGGGAGGCNGCAGUGGGGAAUAUUGCACAAUGGGGGAAACCCUGAUGCAGCGACGCCGCGUGAGCGAAGAAGUAUUUCGGUAUGUAAAGCUCUAUCAGCAGGGAANAUGAUGACGGUACCUGACUAAGAAGCCCCGGCUAACUACGUGCCAGCAGCCGCGGUAAUCUGAGCGGGCUGGCAAGGC
rnacentral:rRNA from 1 species